UUGUCUUUUAAGUAAAAAUUUAAAAAAGACACUCCUCCUCCCGGAACCACUUCCUGCUGCUUCUUUUCCUCGUCCUGGAAGGCCACUUGGUGCUGCUUCUUUUCUUCUUCCUGCGUGCUUCUUCUUCUCCGCGAGACCAGUGAGCUCGGCUGCUUCUUCUUCUCCGCGAACCACGCCUUUUUCAUCUGCUCCCCACCUUUGUUAAUAAGGAGCGGAACGAACAAAACCGGGAGAAGAAGAAACUUGCUUCACACUCACGAACACAAGACUAACAGAAGAAGAGAAGUUUCGCAAUUCGAAUUCACUCAUUCAAUUGAAUUCAUGUGGGAUGCUGCAAGAAAAUUAGUGGAAAGCAUCUGCUAUUAUCUAAACCUGAACUGCUCAAACCUAUAUAUUGACACCUUUUACAGGUACCAUGAAUGUUAUUGGCAAGAAUAUGACGAGGAAUUAAAUUUC